AGCCAGGGAGGGACACAGGAGACGCGCGAUGCGCUCCAUGUCCCUCCAACACAGCAGGGAGGGAGACAUCAGAUUGACAUGCGGGCGCUCGUCCGCAUGUCAAUCUGUGUAAUGUCAGAGGCGCCACUGCGAGGCGCCCUCUGCGGGUCAGGAGCCCGGCGGCAGCCGACUCCGCUGCCUCCCGGACUUCCGCCCCUGCAUGAAAGCAAGGACCUGUAAAAACACCUUUGCGGCUGCCAGGAAAAGCAGGAGAUGAGGCCACGCCUUCUUUUUUGGCCAUGCCCCCCAUACAGCCCUCAUCUGCCUGACUGCACCAUCCCCAUCUAUCAGUUGGUAAAAGCAGAUGUCAUCAGCAGCAGCAGCAGCAGCACGCUUGGUGAAGGAGUUGCGAAUCAAGUCAAAUGGAUCUUUGUAUACUCUCACCUCUUAAUACCCUGCAAUUCUACCAAAUACCCUGCAAUUCUACCAACACAACACAACAACUUGGGUUGCUGUAUGUGCUGGAGUAUGAAUGAAGCUGGAUUGCCUAGUAAUGCUACUCUUCAUACAGGCCACUGGUAGUUGUAAUGGGAGACUAAUGCAGCAGAGGAAGACAAGAUGCAGGCUAGCAGGAUAGCCUAUGGCUGUAGCAGGUUAGCAGGAUUUGCCAAGAGCUGGAGGAUAGGUGAUAACUUGGUCAAAUCUGGGCUCUCGCUGGGCCACUCAAGGACAUUUACAGAGUUAUCCUUAAGCCACUCCUUUAAUAUCUUGGCUGUGUGCUUAGGGUCGUUGUCCUGCUGAAAGAUGAACCGUCGCCCCAGUCUGAGGUCAAGAGCGCUCUGUAGCAGGUUUUCAACCAGGAUGUUUCUGUACAUUUCUGCAUUCAUCUUUAUCUCUAUCCUGACUAGUCUCCCAGUUCCUGCUGCUGAAAAAUAUCCCCACAGCAUGAUGCUGCCACCAUUAUGUUUUACUGUAGGGAUGGCAUUUAUUUAUUUAUUUAUUUAUUUAUUACCAGUUAUUUAUAUAGGGCACACAUAUUCCGCAGCGCUUUACAGAGAAUAUUUGGCCAUUCACAUCAGUCCCUGCCCCAGCGGGUAUAGUAUAUAUGCAUGCGCGAAUUGAGUGGCGCAAGAUAUAAAAAAGCCCUGAGUAAUUGCAGUAUAACUAUAGACACUGAUGAAGCCGCUGACUGAACUUUAAGCGGAGAAACGCGUUUGUCAUAUCUACUACAAGGGAGAGUUGGAUAUCUGAAUUAAGUGCCAGCCGGCCAGAGGCAGCUAAUUACACGGAAAGGAUUGGACAUCUUACCUGUUAUCCAUCAUACGGUGGACUCCGGAUAAGGCUAGUUUUGGAGGCGACAGCCGGGAGAGGUAUUUAAGCACGUGUAAAGCUGCAAAGUAAUAUGUGGAUAAAUAUUCCUAUGGUUUUGAUGAGCGGGGACUAUGAAUGACUAUAAAGCUGAAAGCAUCAUCUAAUACCAGCAUAAAUAUAUGGGGAAACUCCGUUUGGAGACCGCUUUUUUAACCAAUUGUGCACUCAAAGAACUGUUACUCGAAAUAUAAAUGGAGGCUUGUUAAACAGCUACACAGGCACUAAAUUACAACUGAGACACCAGUUACUAUUGUAUCAGAUUGAGGAAAAAAGCUACUAUUGUGACAAUAGUGUUGGAUGAGAUUGUUCAGGUUAAGUGUUUAGCUGCACGUAAUUCUGCAUAGUUAGGAGUGUAUAAAUUCUCUGGUUGGCAACAAAAGAUAGUAAUAUGGUAUGAAUUGUAUAUUAUAAUUAUAUCAAUUAGUAAUAUUGUAUAGUUUAAAUUUUUUUUAUAUGGGUUAUUAAAAAACUAUUUUUAAUGUGAAUGUGCCAACGCUGUCCUUGUAUUUUUGUAUGUUGUUGUUCAGGCUGUGAACCUAGCCUUUUGGACACAGCAGCAGGCGUUUUCACAACAACAAUAGCGCCGGAUUUUGUGUGUAUAUAUUUUUUAACUUGGUUUAUGUUGCUGAAAUUAAAAAGUACGUAAACACUUUCAUAAUGUGUCUACUACGCAUCUUUGGGUUACUUGGUUGGUGUUCUAAUGGACGUGUGACAACUAAUUUUCCUUACGUUUUAUCAAGUUUUUUUUUCUUAUAUUCCUUUUCUAAUUUUUCUUUCCCCCUCUCUUUUUCUUUAUU